rnacentral:misc_RNA from 1 species
AUUUUAUAGCAAGUAUCCAAUAAAAUGACAACUUUGCGAAGAUUUCGUGUUUAUCAAACUGUCAGAUUCUAGAAUCAAAACUUGAUCAAAACAAUCUUAAUUUUUAUAUGUAUUUCUAAGUUUAAUGAACAAACAUUAAACUACAAUAAUGCUCACGUUGUGGAACCUAUUCGAAGCUUCUUUGCUGUGCCUAAAUGCUGUCUGCGUACUCCAUGAAGAAAGAUUUAUGCAAAAGAUGGGAUGGGGUGCUAAUAACCGAAAUCAAGGGUUUGAAGACCAAUCAUCAAUAAAAUUCCAAAUUUUAAACUUAGUUAGAUCAAUAAGGACAGUGACAAGAAUUCCACUCAUUAUACUGAAUAUUUUAACAAUAAUAUUUAAAUUAUUAUUAGGGUAACAGAGUCUUUAUAACACAUGAAGCUAUCCAUAUGAUAAAGUGUAAGAUGUGAAGGAACUUACUUUUAAUUUGUUUAUAAAAGAAUUUGUCAACAUCACUGGUAUUUUAUUUACUUAAUCCCUUUCAUACAACAAACCGUCUCAUGCUACAUCUAUCUAUGUCUAUCUGUUCAAAAUGAACUCAACAACUACCAAACGGAUGUUCA